rnacentral:rRNA from 1 species
UACGGGAGGCGGCAGUGGGGAAUAUUGCACAAUGGGCGCAAGCCUGAUGCAGCCAUGCCGCGUGUAUGAAGAAGGCCUUCGGGUUGUAAAGUACUUUCAGUCGUGAGGAAGGUGUUAAGGUUAAUAACCUUAGCAAUUGACGUUAGCGACAGAAGAAGCACCGGCUAACUCCGUGCCAGCAGCCGCGGUAAUACGGAGGGUGCGAGCGUUAAUCGGAAUUACUGGGCGUAAAGGGCACGCAGGCGGUUAAUUAAGUUGGAUGUGAAAUCCCCGGGCUUAACCUGGGAAUGGCAUUCAAGACUGGUUAGCUAGAGUCUUGUAGAGGGGGUAGAAUUCCAUGUGUAGCGGUGAAAUGCGUAGAGAUGUGGAGGAAUACCGGUGGCGAAGGCGGCCCCUGGACAAAGACUGACGCUCAUGUGCGAAAGCGUGGGGAGCAAACAGGGAUUAGAUACC